rnacentral:rRNA from 1 species
CGUAGGGUGCGAGCGUUAAUCGGAAUUACUGGGCGUAAAGCGUGCGCAGGCGGUUUAGUAAGACAGGCGUGAAAUCCCCGGGCUCAACCUGGGAACUGCGCUUGUGGCUGCUAAGCUAGAGUACGGCAGAGGGGGGUGGAAUUCCACGUGUAGCAGUGAAAUGCGUAGAGAUGUGGAGGAACACCAAUGGCGAAGGCAGCCCCCUGGGUCGAUACUGACGCUCAUGCACGAAAGCGUGGGUAGCAAACAGGAUUAGAUACCCUGGUAGUCCACGCCCUAAACGAUGUCAACUAGGUGUUGGGAGGGUAAAACCUUUUAGUACCGGAGCUAACGCGUGAAGUUGACCGCCUGGGGAGUACGGCCGCAAGGUUA